ACAGAUUUACUUCGGUAAUGACGUUGGGAAAGCGAGCGGCGGAUGGGUGAGUAACACGUGGGGAACCUGCCCCUAAGUCUGGGAUACCAUUUGGAAACAGGUGCUAAUACCGGAUAAUAAAGCAGAUCGCAUGAUCAGCUUUUGAAAGGCGGCGUAAGCUGUCGCUAAGGGAUGGCCCCGCGGUGCAUUAGCUAGUUGGUAAGGUAACGGCUUACCAAGGCGACGAUGCAUAGCCGAGUUGAGAGACUGAUCGGCCACAUUGGGACUGAGACACGGCCCAAACUCCUACGGGAGGCAGCAGUAGGGAAUCUUCCACAAUGGACGCAAGUCUGAUGGAGCAACGCCGCGUGAGUGAAGAAGGUUUUCGGAUCGUAAAGCUCUGUUGUUGGUGAAGAAGGAUAGAGGUAGUAACUGGCCUUUAUUUGACGGUAAUCAACCAGAAAGUCACGGCUAACUACGUGCCAGCAGCCGCGGUAAUACGUAGGUGGCAAGCGUUGUCCGGAUUUAUUGGGCGUAAAGCGAGCGCAGGCGGAAAAAUAAGUCUAAUGUGAAAGCCCUCGGCUUAACCGAGGAACUGCAUCGGAAACUGUUUUUCUUGAGUGCAGAAGAGGAGAGUGGAACUCCAUGUGUAGCGGUGGAAUGCGUAGAUAUAUGGAAGAACACCAGUGGCGAAGGCGGCUCUCUGGUCUGCAACUGACGCUGAGGCUCGAAAGCAUGGGUAGCGAACAGGAUUAGAUACCCUGGUAGUCCAUGCCGUAAACGAUGAGUGCUAAGUGUUGGGAGGUUUCCGCCUCUCAGUGCUGCAGCUAACGCAUUAAGCACUCCGCCUGGGGAGUACGACCGCAAGGUUGAAACUCAAAGGAAUUGACGGGGGCCCGCACAAGCGGUGGAGCAUGUGGUUUAAUUCGAAGCAACGCGAAGAACCUUACCAGGUCUUGACAUCUAGUGCAAUCUGUAGAGAUACGGA
rnacentral:rRNA from 1 species